rnacentral:rRNA from 1 species
GACGAAGGAUGCAAGCGUUAUCCGGAUUCAUUGGGUUUAAAGGGAGCGUAGGUGGUCUGCUAAGUCAGUGGUGAAAUCUCUCGGCUUAACUGAGAAAUUGCCAUUGAUACUGGUAGACUUGAGUGUAGUUGCCGUUGGCGGAAUAUGACAUGUAGUGGUGAAAUACAUAGAGAUGUCAUAGAACACCGAUUGCGAAGGCAGCUAACGAAACUAUAACUGACACUGAGGCUCGAAAGUGUGGGGAUCAAAC